rnacentral:rRNA from 1 species
GUGGGGAAUAUUGGGCAAUGGGCGAAAGCCUUACCCAGCAACGCCGCGUGAGGGAAGAAGGUUUUCGGAUUGUAAACCUCUGUCCUGGGGGACGAAGGAAGUGACGGUACCCCGGGAGGAAGCCCCGGCUAACUACGUGCCAGCAGCCGCGGUAAUACGUAGGGGGCGAGCGUUGUCCGGAAUUAUUGGGCGUAAAGGGCGCGUAGACGGCCGAGUAAGUUAUAGGUGAAAGCCCAUCUUUCAAGGAUGGAAUUGCCUGUAAUACUGCCUGGCUUGAGUGCAGGAGAGGGAAGCGGAAUUCCUAGUGUAGCGGUGAAAUGCGUAGAUAUUAGGAGGAACACCAGUGGCGAAGGCGGCUUUCUGGACUGUAACUGACGUUGAGGCGCGAAAGCGUGGGGAGCAAACAGG